rnacentral:rRNA from 1 species
CCUACGGGAGGCAGCAGUGGGGAAUAUUGCACAAUGGGCGAAAGCCUGAUGCAGCGACGCCGCGUGAGGGAUGACGGCCUUCGGGUUGUAAACCUCUUUCAGCAGGGAAGAAGCGAAAGUGACGGUACCUGCAGAAGAAGCGCCGGCUAACUACGUGCCAGCAGCCGCGGUAAUACGUAGGGCGCAAGCGUUGUCCGGAAUUAUUGGGCGUAAAGAGCUCGUAGGCGGCUUGUCACGUCGGGUGUGAAAGCCCGGGGCUUAACCCCGGGUCUGCAUUCGAUACGGGCUAGCUAGAGUGUGGUAGGGGAGAUCGGAAUUCCUGGUGUAGCGGUGAAAUGCGCAGAUAUCAGGAGGAACACCGGUGGCGAAGGCGGAUCUCUGGGCCAUUACUGACGCUGAGGAGCGAAAGCGUGGGGAGCGAACAGGAUUAGAUACCCUGGUAGUCCACGCCGUAAACGGUGGGAACUAGGUGUUGGCGACAUUCCACGUCGUCGGUGCCGCAGCUACGCAUACGUUCCCGUCCCGUCGGGAGGUACGGCCGCGAACGGACGUAAACUACAAAGGAAGUAGACGGCGNGAGACGNGCCGACGGACGACGACGAGGGAGUAGG